rnacentral:piRNA from 1 species
UAAUAGUGAACCCCUGGGCCACUGAAGAGUA